AUUGAACGCUGGCGGCAGGCCUAACACAUGCAAGUCGAGCGAGCGGCGGACGGGUGAGUAAUGUAUGGGGACUGCCCGAUAGAGGGGGAUAACUACUGGAAACGGUGGCUAAUACCGCAUACGAUCGGAUAACCCAUAUGGGAUUAGCUAGUAGGUGGGGUAAAGGCUCACCUAGGCGACGAUCCCUAGCUGGGCUGAGAGGAUGGUCAGCCACACUGGAACGUAGACAAGGCCCAGACUCCUACGGAGGCAGCAGUGGGGAAUAGUGCACAAUGGGCGCAAGCCUGAUACAGCCAUGUCGCGUGUAUGAAGAAGGCCUUAGGUUUGUAAAGUACUUUCAGCGGGUGGGCGUUACCCGCAGAAGAAGCACCGGCUAACUCCGUGCCAGCAGCCGCGGUAAUAC
rnacentral:rRNA from 1 species